UUCAUCCUAACACUGUUCCUCUGCUACCUGUAGGUGCUGUUUCCUCCAGUCAGUUCAUCCUAACACUGUUCCUCUGCUACCUGUAGGUGCUGUUUCCUCCAGUCAGUUCAUCCUAACACUGUUCCUCUGCUACCUGUAGGUGCUGUUUCCUCCAGUCAGUUCAUCCUAACACUGUUCCUCUGCUACCUGUAGGUGCUGUUUCCUCCAGUCAGGAUGGGAUCUCUGCAGCAGAGGUGGAGCUGAGAGUCAGACCAGGAGACAACAUCACUCUCUACUGUGACUGUACCAGAACUACUGGAGUUUACAUUAUCUGGUAUAGGAACUGUUCUCACAAGUACCAGCCUCCUCUAGUUAUUUCAACUAAGUUGUUUAGUUACAUCUCUCCCCCUGGAUAUAAUCUGGAGUGGAACCCCUCUAACAAGUCCUAUGAUCUACUGAUUGAGAACAUCACUGAAUCUGACCUGGGACUCUACUACUGUGGGACUGUGGAGAAGAAGGUAGUGGAUGAUGAAGGUAAAGAAAUUGAACAGAAAGAGUUGCACCACUAUGGAAACAUCACCACUAGGAUUUCACUUGACAUCAGUCCUCCUGAGUCCUCCUCCUCCUCCCCUCCUCCUGUAGACUGUGGGCUGUGUUGGAUGUUGCUGUUCAGUCUGUGUCCUGUGUCUGCUCUCCUCUCCUUUGCCUGUGUCUACUCCUUCUGCAGAACAACAGCUCCAACUGAGACUCAGGUUCCUUUGAACAGGACGACCACCAGGGGAAGUGACAGCAGAGAGCAGACUA